GACGAACGCUGGCGGCGUGCUUAACACAUGCAAGUCGAACGGUAAGGCCCCUGGGGGUACACGAGUGGCGAACGGGUGAGUAACACGUGGGUGAUCUGCCCUGCACUUCGGGAUAAGCCUGGGAAACUGGGUCUAAUACCGGAUAGGACUCCUGGCUUCAUGGUUGGGGGUGGAAAGCUUUUGCGGUGUGGGAUGGGCCCGCGGCCUAUCAGCUUGUUGGUGGGGUAAUGGGCUACCAAGGCGACGACGGGUAGCCGGCCUGUGAGGGUGACCAGUCACACUGGGACUGAGAUACGGCCCAGACUCCUACGGGAGGCAGCAGUGGGAAAUAUUGCACAAUGGGCGCAAGCCUGAUGCAGCGACGCCGCGUGAGGGAUGACGGCCUUCGGGUUGUAAACCUCUUUCAGCUAUGACGAAGCGCAAGUGACGGUAGUAGCAGAAGAAGGACCGGCCAACUACGUGCCAGCCGCCGCCGUAA
rnacentral:rRNA from 1 species